rnacentral:tRNA from 1 species
UGGAUCAGUUGGUAGAGCAUGGCGCUUGCAAUGCCAGGGUUGUGGGUUUGAUUCCCAC